CCUAACACAUGCAAGUCAACUUGACUGAAGGAGCAAUCUGACAGUAGAGUGGCGCAAGGGUGCGUAACGCGUAAGUAACUUGCCCAAGGUAAGGAAUAACGUCGAGAAAUCGGCGCUAAUACCUCAUAAUGCAGCGGAUCCGCAUGGAUAUGUUGUUAAAGGUUUACCGCCUUGGGAUAGGCUUGCGUCUGAUUAGCUAGUUGGUGUGGUAACGGCACACCAAGGCUACGAUCAGUAACUGGUCUGAGAGGAUGAUCAGUCACACUGGAACUGAGACACGGUCCAGACUCCUACGGGAGGCAGCAGUGAGGAAUAUUGGGCAAUGCUCGAAAGAGUGACCCAGCAACGCCGCGUGGAGGAUGAAGGUAUUCUAUAUCGUAAACUCCUGUGAGAGCAGACGAAAGACAGAUUAUUAAUCUGGAUGACUGUAUGCUCAGAGGAAGCCCCGGCUAACUACGUC
rnacentral:rRNA from 1 species